rnacentral:rRNA from 1 species
UACGGAGGGGGCUAGCGUUGUUCGGAAUCAUUGGGCGUAAAGGGCGCGUAGGCGGCCGAUCAAGUCGGAGGUGAAAUCCCUCGGCUCAACUGAGGAAUUGCCUUCGAUACUGUUCGGCUUGAGUCCUGGAGAGGGUAGCGGAAUUCCCGGUGUAGCGGUGAAAUGCGUAGAGACCGGGAAGAACACCAGUGGCGAAGGCGGCUACCUGGACAGGUACCGACGCUGAAGCGCGAAAGCUAGGGGAGCAAACAGG